rnacentral:rRNA from 1 species
GAGUUUGAUCGUGGCUCAGAUUGAACGCUGGCGGCAUGCCUUACACAUGCAAGUCGAACGGCAGCAUGAUCUAGCUUGCUAGAUUGAUGGCGAGUGGCGAACGGGUGAGUAAUACAUCGGAACGUGCCCCUGUAGUGGGGAUAACUAGUCGAAAGAUUAGCUAAUACCGCAUACGACCUGAGGGUGAAAGUGGGGGACCGCAAGGCCUCAUGCUAUAGGAGCGGCCGAUGUCUGAUUAGCUAGUUGGUGGGUAAAGGCCCACCAAGGCGACGAUCAGUAGCUGGUCUGAGAGGACGAUCAGCCACACUGGGACUGAGACACGGCCCAGACUCCUACGGGAGGCAGCAGUGGGAAUUUUGGACAAUGGGCGAAAGCCUGAUCCAGCAAUGCCGCGUGUGUGAAG